GGGGGCGUUAAGGUUUCGACGGGAUUGUUGAAGCUUGAGAAGCGGGUAGUGGAUUCUCGUUGGCCACUUAAAAAAACGAGAAUUUAAAAAUAAACGCUAACAACGAAUUAGCUUACGCUGCCUAAUUAAGGCAGCCGCCUUCCUCGGAAGUACCACGGUCUGAGACAGGGCGUCGAUUAGUGGUGAACGUGACACGGUAAAGCUUUGAGCCGUGCAUGACAAAUGAAGCUACUGAAGCUGUAAGCCUGUUCAUGGGCGUGCAGCAGAGGGAAUGUUAAAACAUGAACUGCACCCGGAGAUGCUCUUGUGGAUACGGUUUCGGACGCGGGUUCGAUUCCCGCCGCCUCCACCA
rnacentral:tmRNA from 1 species